rnacentral:lncRNA from 1 species
GCCCAGGGAGCUAAUGUUGCCCCCACAGCAGCAUGUCCUGAGGUUCAGGUGCUGUUUUCUUACCACCCUUGUGUUCUUCCCACUCCACUUUGCCCUCUACGAGAGCUCAAAUUGCCCCUUAGAGCCACAUUCAGAAUAUUUGUUCGGUCCAUGCUGGUAACAUAGUACAUCUUUCAUCUUUUCUCGUAGGUCAGUUCAAAUGUUUUUAUCUGCAACGAACAGUGCCGUAACUGUAAACACUCUGCCAGCUUGUGUUCAUAGCUACACCAUGACAUCUGCCCUCAGGACUUGCUUGGUCCACAGAGGAGGGGAAACAGGAGCUGACUAUCGAAAAGAUAGUUUGGCCCAUGAAGUUAAGUCACUAGCUGUGAGUUUUGGUUUUGCUUCCCCCAUCAGGUCCUCUGUGAUCGGGCAAUCCUGGGAGAAGAAAUGUGUCUGUACCACCUAAGCACAUCACUCUUCCCUCCAGCUUUUGCAGGCCCCUCCACUGCAGCAUCCCUUUCCCACUGCAGGAACAGAAGCGGAAACUCAGAGAGAAAUCUGUGGACUGCCAGUAAUGAGAUAGAAGCAAGAGCUGAUGAAAGCUUUGAGGUCUUCUCCUCAGGGAGAAGCAGCAUGUCCUUUGGAGGUACUGGAUGCAAGGCCUUCCAGGUGCCCACUGCCAGCUGCAUCCCCAGCAGUGUUUGCUGCCAGGCUUAA